CCUGGCUUAGGAUGAACGCUAGCGACAGGCCUAACACAUGCAAGUCGAGGGGCAGCACAAGGAGCAAUCUGAGGUGGCGACCGGCGCACGGGUGAGUAACACGUAUGCAACCUGCCUGUAAGCGGGGAAUAACCCGUUGAAAGACGGACUAAUACCGCAUAAUACUAAAUUACUGCAUGGUAAUUUAUUUAAACAUUUAUGGCUUACAGAUGGGCAUGCGCAUGAUUAGCUAGUUGGAGAGGUAACGGCUCCCCAAGGCAACGAUUAUUAGGGGUUCUGAGAGGAAGGUCCCCCCACACUGGUACUGAGACACGGACCAGACUCCUACGGGAGGCAGCAGUGAGGAAUAUUGGUCAAUGGACGAGAGUCUGAACCAGCCAAGUCGCGUGCAGGAAGAAUGUCCCUAUGGAUUGUAAACUGCUUUUGCAGGGGAAUAAAGUGCAUCACGUGUGAUGUUUUGUAUGUACUCUGCGAAUAAGGAUCGGCUAACUCCGUGCCAGCCGCCGC
rnacentral:rRNA from 1 species